UUUUUUUUUUUUCUUUUUUUUUUUGCUUUGCUUUUUAAGGCUGCACUCACAGCACAUGGAAGUUCCCAGGCUAGGGUCUGAAUCGCAGCUGCAGCUGCCAGCCUAUGCCACAGCCACAGCAAUGCCAAAUCCUUAACCCACUGAGUGAGGUCAAGGAUCAAAGCUGCAUAUUCACAGAGACUGUGUGGGGUCCUAAAGCCACUGAGCCACAAUGGGAACUCCUUUGUAAUUUUUUUUCUCUCUCACCUGAUCUAACAAAAACUCCAAAGAAUUUUCAAAUCGUUUUCAAUGAAAAUGACAUUGUCAGCGUGCAAUAUCUACUUCUCACCGUGAAGUACCAGCACUGUUCACACACAUGAAAUGUAACACGAACAAAAAAUCAAGAGAUAAAUCUGGAGUAGGGAUCAGGAUGCUGCAGCAGCUGGAGGAAGCCAUCCCUCAGAAAGCACGGAGACCGGGAAGCAGGCCCUCCUCCUUGGCUUCGGGGCUGCUCAGCGGAAGCUGGAUGAGACCUGGCUGUGGGAAGACGAGCGGGAGAGGGGACUCGUGCAGGGUGGUCUGAGGGAGACCAGCCAGGCGGGAUGGGGCCCGCAGCCAACCGACAGAAGGUCCCAACCAAUCAUGAGCAAAGUACUUCCUCCGAAGCCAAAGCCGCCCCACCUCCCGAGGGAAUGGCUGGAAGCCUCCCAGCCUGAGUCAUUCGGAAACAGAUUUUACAAAGCGCUCCAGAGAUUCCCUGGGGGAACGAUCCAGCCACGAUAGAGGAAGAGGCUCAGGGACCAAGGAGGUCUUCUCCUGCUCCAGCUCCCAUUCGCCACGGAUCCGGAUCCUCCUGCUUCUUCCCAUCUCACUGUGGCCACGGUGGCGAAGGCGUGGCCGUCCCAUCCUCCAGCCUGAGCCUCCUAAGGCCCAGGAAGAGCUGCUGACUCGGCCCGAGGCCUUCCAGCUUCAGUGAAGGAGUCUGCGGCCACAAUGUCCACAUCCAUGGCUCCUCCUGGCCUAGGGGCCUUCGAGGACAGUGGCUGUCAUGUCCCUGGACCCAGCGCUGCUGGUCCCGGGCCCUCCACCAUCAGGCUGCGGCAAGGGUAGGCGCUCGAGCCUCCUCCCUUCCCACAUCCCCCCCAGGGCCUGCUCUACACAGGCUCCUCCACAUGUGCUAUUCACAUUUGUUCCACGGAGCCAGGGAUAAUUAAACCUGCUCUAGGACGGGAACACUGGCAAGAUCUCACGUCCCCACAGCUGGUCAGCGGGUGCAGCAGAUGCCUGCUGAAAUCUCAUUAAUAAGCUGGAAGAAUGAGGCCUUGGUGACACUGGUCACCUUCAGAGAUGGCAGGCAGACCGCCCUCGGGAGAACAUCACUGAGAGGGGGUGGGUGGGCGGCAGGUAACUUCUCCAUCAGUUCUCUCACCUUCCCAAGGCAGCCUUAGCACCACCGCCCUGGACCACUCCUUCUGUGAGUAGGUGCUGCUCUCUGGUGCCAUGAAUCACAUGCCGAACACAUGAGGUUCCUGUUAACUAUUCACAUGACCCGGGUUUCCGGAAAAAUCCCUGUCCAGAAAUUUAGUUUUCAGCCACGAAAGCUUCAUAGAAAGUAUCUGAUUAGAUAAACAACCGUAUUUUUUCUGUCUUGUUUCAAAGUUUCUGUCAUGUGCUACUUCUUACAUUAGUGUACCUGUUAGCCCUGGUGUGUAACAAAGCUCCUCACAGUUUAGUGGCUGACAACAACCGUGACUGGUGAUGUCUCAUGACUCUGUGGGUUUCCUGGGCUCCUUCUUUCACUGCUCUCAGUUGGGUCAGCAGUGCUGAAGGCCCUCGAAAGCUGCAUUCACAAGUCUGGCAGCUAAUGCCAUCUGUGCACAGGCUGCUGGGGUGGGGUGAGGUAGAACCAUGGCCCUCCUCCACCAGCCUCUCAUCCUCUUGUAGGCUAGAUGGGCUUCUCCCCACAGAGGUCUCAGGGCAAAGCCAUCAUAGGGCCAAAGCAGAAGCUGCCAGACCUUCCACAGAUCUGGGCUCUGGAAUUCGCACAAUACUUGGGCGGCAUCCAUCACUCUAAGCAGGUCAGAAGGGCAGCCCAGAUUCCAGGAGUUGGGAUGUUUCCCAGUUUCAGUUGGGAAAAGCUAAAAAGGAUAUGUGACCAUUUUAAACCUGAGAUGAGAUGUGUCAUAUCAGCAUCUCCCCACUGUGUCAGUGUGGCAAAAGUCCUGGGAACUGAUUUUAGGUGCUUUUAGAUCAAAGGGGCCUCAGGACAAAUGCUAAAUCCUGUAUGCCACCCUUGAAAAGCCACUGUAUACUUUAGCAUGUUAAAGUCUCUGAAAGGUGUGCCAAAAAAAAAAAAAUCCUAUUUAACUUUCUUUAGUGAUGAACAACUAUGUUUAUUGAAGCUAAGGAAGAUCACUUUCCUAAAACGCCAUUCUGGAAAAUGGGGUCAAAUCUUGAAUUUGGGGAACAAUUCCAGUUUGGCAUACUUUGAACUGAUGUCUUUUGAAAUGUCCCAGAAAUGUCAAAAUACCCUCUAAGAUACGGAAGUGGCAGAUACUACUACAAGGCCCGAGUUGAGGUUAUAAAACUAAAGCCCACCGCUGUUGCCUCUCAAGUAAUUAAACAUGGAGAAACUUCUACUCAAAAUCAUCUUGAUUAUCCUUGAAAGCUUCCCUCAAGUUGCUUAAGCACAAAUGUUUGGAGGGGGGGAUCUUCAUCUUCAGAUAUAAUAUUUUUGAGCCACUGCAGUGGCUGGGGUCACUGUCGUGAUGUAGGUUGAGUCCCUGACCAAGGAACUUCCACAUGCCAUGAGUACAG
rnacentral:lncRNA from 1 species